rnacentral:rRNA from 1 species
AACGAACGCUGGCGGCGCGCCUAAUACAUGCAAGUCGAGCGAGAAGGUGUAGCAAUACACUUGUAAAGCGGCGAACGGGUGAGGAAUACAUGGGUAAUCUACCAUCGAGUGGGGAAUAACCAACCGAAAGGUUGGCUAAUACCGCGUACGCCUCCGAGUCUUCGGGUUCGGAGGGAAAGCUGCACUGUGAGUGUAGCGCUCUUUGAUGAGCUCAUGUCCUAUCAGCUUGUUGGUAGGGUAACGGCCUACCAAGGCUUCGACGGGUAGCUGGUCUGAGAGGACGAUCAGCCACACUGGCACUGCGACACGGGCCAGACUCCUACGGGAGGCAGCAGUAAGGAAUAUUGCGCAAUGGGCGAAAGCCUGACGCAGCGACGCCGCGUGGGGAUGAAGGUCUUCGGAUUGUAAACCCCUUUCGGGAGGGAAGAUGGAGCGAGCAAUCGUUCGGACGGUACCUCCAGAAGCAGCCACGGCCAACUUCGUGCCAGC